GAGACACCCUUAUGGUGUAGGACUGGCUUCAGUGGGGCUUUGGUGCUCACUGAGUCUGCCCCUUGAGUGUGUUGCU
rfam:Myotis lucifugus cont2.27303, whole genome shotgun sequence.